rnacentral:lncRNA from 1 species
UUAGGUUGGUAUUAGGUUAUUAUAUGAUAAAAUAAACAAAAAGGAAUAAAAAUAUCAUUUUUAUUUCUUUGCUCAUCUUCUUCCACCGUUUUUCACCAAGAGAAUAGCCAUUGGAGAACUCAAAUUUUCAGCAAACUUAAACCCUUGCAUGUAAGUGAAAUUUAUGUUUGUUUUUGUUGAUUUCUAUGUUUUUGGAACCCUUGAAGCUUAAGCUAGCUAAAUAGGGGAGUAAUUUGCAAGAUGAUUGAAAGGCUAGGGUUUUGGGCCAUGAAAGCAUGAUAGUUGAUUGUGAAGUUUAAUGGAGGAAAAUGAAACUUUGUUGUGUGUUGAACAUUUCUUGUUAAGUGAUUUUUGUUGUAAAAUGCUAUUAGGGGUUAAUUUGUAAAGUAUGAAGAUUUUGAGUUAUAUGAGUGAAAUUGGGGAUUAUAUGGGCUCCUAUGAGCACCUAAAUAAUUCGGUUAGUCUUUGAUAUGGAUGAAAUUCCAUAAAUUUCGUUUUACGAGCCUAGGGACUAAUUUGUAAAUAUGUGAAAGUUUAGGGGUGAAACUGUAAUUUUUCCAAAGUAUGAAUUGUGGACUGAUUUCAAUAAUGUGACUAAUAAUUAGGCUAAAUGUGAUAUUAUAGAUCAAAGAAAAUGAGGUUCAGACCUAGAACGGGGGGAAAAACGAGAAUUGACUGUUAUGUCCCUUUUUGCCUUUUUGGUGUCGAGGUAUGUUUGUAAGUAAAUAAUAUAUCGUUUUUACUUAUAUUAUAAUAUUUUGUUAUAUUACACGAGAUAUGGUUGUAUAUUGAAUGAUUAUUUGAUGUAAAUUAUGAAUUGAGAUAACUAUGGAUGAAAUUGGCAAAGUGAGAAUAAGUGAGAAAUUUCCCUGUUGAACUUUUGAAAUAGAAAAGGAUACGAAGGACGUCAUGAGAACUCAUGUGUAGAACUAUGUGCAGGCUACUAUGAGUAUAAGAUAGUUAUGGUCACAUGUGUAAUACUAUGUGCAGGCUACUACGUGUAUCGAAUGACAUUGGUCACAUGUGCAGUACUAAGUGUAGGCUACUAUGUGUACCGGAUAGCAUUGAUCAUAAGGGUGGUGCUAUGUGCGGAACCACCGUGUAUCUGUUAUCAUUCCGAAGUGUUCAUCAGGAAAAUCGACUAAGUGAAAUUAUGUGUGACUAUGUGAUGGUAAGUGCGGGUAUAUGUAUGUGUAUACUCAUGAGCAAUGUGUUCGAUAUGUGAUCGAAAUGUGGUAAAGUUGCAAAGGAGUAAGUGAAGUGAUAAAGUAUUGUAUCAUGCAUGCAAGUUGAAUUAUGUUAUUGAAUGUUGAGCAUAUUGUUAUGAUGUUUCAUGAAAAAGUGAAAUUUGAAAUAAAACAGUUUUGGACAGCAGUAGUUGUGUGAUUUUGAAAAAUCACAAAAAAUGGUGGAAAUUGAAUUAGAGGUUGAAUAAGAUAUGAAAUAAAAUCUUAUUGAGUCUAUUUUCAUAUAAAAGAAAUGGUGUAAACAAAAGAAUUUCAUAUUAUGAGAUAUUUGAAUUUUAGUGAGACAGGGUCAAAAUGAUUUCGGAAUCCCCUGUCUUAACUUUGGAAAAUUAUAAAAAAUUUCACAAAAAUAAUUAUGGGUUAUAAUUUAUAUGUUUAAAAUUAUGAAUAAGUCUAUUUUUAAUAGAACAAACGAGAAUAUCAUCCGAAUUCUGUACGAUAAGAUAAUUAAUUUUUAGUGUAGAAAGGUCAAAACUGUCAGAUAGUGGAACAUGGACGAAUUUAAAGAAUAAACUGUACUUAUUGGAUAAACUAAAAAUUCUGAAAAUUUUAUGGUAAGAAGAUAUGUGAGUCUAGUUUCAGGGAAAAUUUACAGAACUUAAUUUGGAGUUCCGUAACUCAAGAUAUAAAUAAUUUAGUAACUAUGACUCGAGUAGAUAGCUAGAUACGAACUUGAGUAAAUAUUGGAACUAUGUGCUUUUAUGAUUGUAUUAUUUUGAGAACAUGUUGUGAAGACUGAUAAAAUCAUAUUAAUAAGUUUUUAUUAUUUAUAUAUUAACUUACUAAGUUUUAUAGCUUACUCCUUUUCCUUUCUCUCAUCUUAUAGGUUUAUAUAGCUAGCUCGGGUUGGAGAUCGCCGGAGAUGUUAUCACACUAUCAAAUUAUCAUUUGGGUAUAAGUGAAUGCAAGUAUUUUAAGUUUAUGACAUGUAUAGGGACUUUGUCUUUUGAAUUUUUGUGUCAUUGUUAAUGAGGCCAAAUGUGUUUGCCUAAUAUAGUUUAUGGUUCAAUUGAUAUACAGUUAUGAAUGAUGGCUUAUGUUGAUUAUAAGCUUAUGCAUGUGUUAAUGCCUUGUGUGAAUGUAAAGCUAAUAUUUUUUUUAAAGAUCUAAAUAGGAUGAUUAAGUAAGACAAAUGAUGAUAUGAGGAUGAUUAACUGAUUUAUGGUCAUUUGCUUGCCUA